CUACUUGCUUCGGCAGUACAUAUACUAAAAUUGGAACGAUACAGAGAAGAUUAGCAUGGCCCCUGCGCAAGGUAUCGCACCCGCGUCCGAGAUUGAUGCUUUU